UUCUGUAGGCAAUUCUUUCUCUGUGGAUAAUAUCGGUGAUAGGAAGUUGUUGCAGUGCACUAAACCUUCUAUACUUCGGUUUCUUAUGCCUUCACACACUGCCAGCACUAUAUGAACAAUAUGAGGGUGAAGUUGAUCAUAUUGCCAGCAAGGGAAGCCAAGAUCUGAAGAAAAUUUAUAACAAAUUUGAUACUAAAGUUCUUGACAAGAUCCCAAGAGCCUCGAAAGACAAAAGCAAAAAGGUUAAAUGAGCUCAUGUAGAAGAACCUCCUCUGAAGAAAACAGUACUUGUUCGAAUUAGGAGGAGAGCUCAUCUGAAAAUGUAAUGUAAUCUUAUUUAUACUCAAUGCACCUUACAUGUAAGUAUCCAGUACAGAAAAAGAAAGAUGUGUGCGUAUUGUUACCUCUCCAUGAAGGAACUAAUAGAGGGAUAAACUUUCAAGUUAUCAUACUACUGUAAUUCUUAAGUAUAAUAUACAUGAUUCUUAUUUCUUGCA